rnacentral:rRNA from 1 species
CGACCUGAGAGGGUGAUCGGCCACAUUGGAACUGAGAGACGGUCCAGACUCCUACGGGAGGCAGCAGUGGGGAAUAUUGGGCAAUGGGCGAAAGCCUGACCCAGCAACGCCGCGUGAGGGAAGAAGGGUUUCGGCUCGUAAACCUCUGUCCUAUGGGACGAAGGAAGUGACGGUACCAUAGGAGGAAGCCCCGGCUAACUACGUGCCAGCAGCCGCGGUAAU